ACGAACGCUGGCGGCGUGCCUAAUACAUGCAAGUAGAACGCUGAAGAGAGGAGCUUGCUCUUCUUGGAUGAGUUGCGAACGGGUGAGUAACGCGUAGGUAACCUGCCUUGUAGCGGGGGAUAACUAUUGGAAACGAUAGCUAAUACCGCAUAACAAUGGAUGACACAUGUCAUUUAUUUGAAAGGGGCAAUUGUUCCACUACAAGAUGGACCUGCGUUGUAUUAGCUAGUAGGUGAGGUAAUGGCUCACCUAGGCGACGAUACAUAGCCGACCUGAGAGGGUGAUCGGCCACACUGGGACUGAGACACGGCCCAGACUCCUACGGGAGGCAGCAGUAGGGAAUCUUCGGCAAUGGGGGCAACCCUGACCGAGCAACGCCGCGUGAGUGAAGAAGGUUUUCGGAUCGUAAAGCUCUGUUGUAAGUCAAGAACGGGUGUGAGAGUGGAAAGUUCACACUGUGACGGUAGCUUACCAGAAAGGGACGGCUAACUACGUGCCAGCAGCCGCGGUAAUACGUAGGUCCCGAGCGUUGUCCGGAUUUAUUGGGCGUAAAGCGAGCGCAGGCGGUUUGAUAAGUCUGAAGUUAAAGGCUGUGGCUCAACCAUAGUUCGCUUUGGAAACUGUCAAACUUGAGUGCAGAAGGGGAGAGUGGAAUUCCAUGUGUAGCGGUGAAAUGCGUAGAUAUAUGGAGGAACACCGGUGGCGAAAGCGGCUCUCUGGUCUGUAACUGACGCUGAGGCUCGAAAGCGUGGGGAGCGAACAGGAUUAGAUACCCUGGUAGUCCACGCAGUAAACGAUGAGUACUAGGAGUUUGCGAUACAAUGUAAGCUCUACAGCGAAAGCGUUAAGUAAUCCACCUGGGGAGUACGACCGCAAGGUUGAAACUCAAAGGAAUUGACGGGGGCCCGCACAAGCGGUGGAGCAUGUGGUUUAAUUCGAAGCAACGCGAAGAACCUUACCAGGUCUUGACAUCCCGAUGCUAUUUCUAGAGAUAGAAAGUUACUUCGGUACAUCGGUGACAGGUGGUGCAUGGUUGUCGUCAGCUCGUGUCGUGAGAUGUUGGGUUAAGUCCCGCAACGAGCGCAACCCCUAUUGUUAGUUGCCAUCAUUCAGUUGGGCACUCUAGCGAGACUGCCGGUAAUAAACCGGAGGAAGGUGGGGAUGACGUCAAAUCAUCAUGCCCCUUAUGACCUGGGCUACACACGUGCUACAAUGGUUGGUACAACGAGUUGCGAGUCGGUGACGGCGAGCUAAUCUCUUAAAGCCAAUCUCAGUUCGGAUUGUAGGCUGCAACUCGCCUACAUGAAGUCGGAAUCGCUAGUAAUCGCGGAUCAGCACGCCGCGGUGAAUACGUUCCCGGGCCUUGUACACACCGCCCGUCACACCACGAGAGUUUGUAACACCCGAAGUCGGUGAGGUAACCUUUUGGAGCCAGCCGCCUAAGGUGGGACAGAUGAUUGGGGUG
rnacentral:rRNA from 1 species